ACGCUCGACACCUACGGAGGCAGCAGUCGGGAAUAUUGCACAAUGGAGGAAACUCUGAUGCAGUGACGCCGCGUGCAGGAAGAAGGUUUUCGGAUUGUAAACUGCUUUAGACAGGGAAGAGAAAGGACAGUACCUGUAGAAUAAGCUCCGGCUAACUACGUGCCAACAGCCGCGGUAAUCUGAGCGGGCUGGCAAGGC
rnacentral:rRNA from 1 species